rnacentral:tRNA from 1 species
GUGCAACACAGGAAAUUGAUAUUUCUCAACUCCUAAGCGGAAGGCCCCGGGUUCGAAUCCCGGCGGGAACGCCA